UAGCAUGCGCUGCUGUCUGCAGUCGAGCGGACAGAUGGGAGCUUGCUCCCUGAUGUUAGCGGCGGACGGGUGAGUAACACGUGGGUAACCUGCCUGUAAGACUGGGAUAACUCCGGGAAACCGGGGCUAAUACCGGAUGCUUGAUUGAACCGCAUGGUUCAAUUAUAAAAGGUGGCUUUUAGCUACCACUUACAGAUGGACCCGCGGCGCAUUAGCUAGUUGGUGAGGUAACGGCUCACCAAGGCAACGAUGCGUAGCCGACCUGAGAGGGUGAUCGGCCACACUGGGACUGAGACACGGCCCAGACUCCUACGGGAGGCAGCAGUAGGGAAUCUUCCGCAAUGGACGAAAGUCUGACGGAGCAACGCCGCGUGAGUGAUGAAGGUUUUCGGAUCGUAAAACUCUGUUGUUAGGGAAGAACAAGUACCGUUCGAAUAGGGCGGUACCUUGACGGUACCUAACCAGAAAGCCACGGCUAACUACGUGCCAGCAGCCGCGGUAAUACGUAGGUGGCAAGCGUUGUCCGGAAUUAUUGGGCGUAAAGCGCGCGCAGGCGGUUUCUUAAGUCUGAUGUGAAAGCCCCCGGCUCAACCGGGGAGGGUCAUUGGAAACUGGGGAACUUGAGUGCAGAAGAGGAGAGUGGAAUUCCACGUGUAGCGGUGAAAUGCGUAGAGAUGUGGAGGAACACCAGUGGCGAAGGCGACUCUCUGGUCUGUAACUGACGCUGAGGCGCGAAAGCGUGGGGAGCGAACAGGAUUAGAUACCCUGGUAGUCCACGCCGUAAACGAUGAGUGCUAAGUGUUAGAGGGUUUCCGCCCUUUAGUGCUGCAGCAAACGCAUUAAGCACUCCGCCUGGGGAGUACGGUCGCAAGACUGAAACUCAAAGGAAUUGACGGGGGCCCGCACAAGCGGUGGAGCAUGUGGUUUAAUUCGAAGCAACGCGAAGAACCUUACCAGGUCUUGACAUCCUCUGACAACCCUAGAGAUAGGGCUUCCCCUUCGGGGGCAGAGUGACAGGUGGUGCAUGGUUGUCGUCAGCUCGUGUCGUGAGAUGUUGGGUUAAGUCCCGCAACGAGCGCAACCCUUGAUCUUAGUUGCCAGCAUUCAGUUGGGCACUCUAAGGUGACUGCCGGUGACAAACCGGAGGAAGGUGGGGGAUGACGUCAAAUCAUCAUGCCCCUUAUGACCUGGGCUACCACCGUGCUACAAUGGGCCAACCAAAGGGCAGCGAAACCCCCGAGGGUAAGCCAAUCCCCCAAAAUUUGUUUCAAUUCGGAAACCAAAUUUGGAAAUGUAAUUGGGG
rnacentral:rRNA from 1 species